rnacentral:lncRNA from 1 species
AGAAAACCAACCAAACUAUUCAUCGAGAGAAGAGAGAUCACGAAGAAUGAACAGCAAACUAGGGUUUCGGACAGUUCCAUAGCUAUCCCUUUGUUUUGCCCUGAUGAUAAGGGACGCCAUGGACCUCCUCCUACCCCACCAUCGACAAGGGCGGCUGAGAGGCGCUUCGGUUCGACGAAGCCUCGGAGCCACGGCGAAGGAGAAGAGCACAGGACAACGAAGGCCCUGCCGCGGAUUUCGCAAACGAUCUGAUCUUUUCUUUUCUUGGUUAUUGAACUUUAAAGAUAUUGGAGAGGGAUAAAGAAACUAGGGUUCACAAAUGAUCGUAUCCAGAACGAGAUCGACCUUUUAUCCGCUGACUCAAUAACAGAGAAACGCGAUCAAGAACGAGAUCUUGCCAAGGAAUUCAAACGAGGAGAUUGAGGGUUUGGAAGCGCUCUCCUGCCAUUCGGCUUCCCUUUCCUCGACUUCCUCUUCCAUUUCUUUCGAUCGUGCGAGCGGAGCCGACCACCCGCAGCAGGGGAAAGAGAGAACGCCGCCCCAGAGACCGUGGUGGAGCCGGA